UCCUACGGGUGGCUGCAGUGGGGAAUAUUGCACAAUGGGCGCAAGCCUGAUGCAGCCAUGCCGCGUGUAUGAAGAAGGCCUUCGGGUUGUAAAGUACUUUCAGCGGGGAGGAAGGUGUUGUGGUUAAUAACCACAGCAAUUGACGUUACCCGCAGAAGAAGCACCGGCUAACUCCGUGCCAGCAGCCGCGGUAAUACGGAGGGUGCAAGCGUUAAUCGGAAUUACUGGGCGUAAAGCGCACGCAGGCGGUCUGUCAAGUCGGAUGUGAAAUCCCCGGGCUCAACCUGGGAACUGCAUUCGAAACUGGCAGGCUAGAGUCUUGUAGAGGGGGGUAGAAUUCCAGGUGUAGCGGUGAAAUGCGUAGAGAUCUGGAGGAAUACCGGUGGCGAAGGCGGCCCCUGGACAAAGACUGACGCUCAGGUGCGAAAGCGUGGGGAGCAAACAGGAUUAGAUACCCCUGUAGUCCGG
rnacentral:rRNA from 1 species